rnacentral:lncRNA from 1 species
AAAUAGCCAGGCAUGGUGGCACAUGCCUGUUCUCCUGGCUACUUGGGAGUCUGAGGUGGUAGGAUCGCUUGAGUACAGGAAGUCAAGGCUGCAGUAAGGUAUGCCACUGCAUGUCAGCCUGGGUGACAGAGCAAGACCCUGUCUCAAAAAAAAAAAAAAAAGAUGUUAGCUUUUAAUAUUCAUAUUAAUAUAUAGCUAUUAAUUUUCUAAUUUAUUCAAUAUUUGUAUACCAAAUUUAUAGUGACUCUCUUGCAAAUGUCUUUUCUUUACCUACACAAUUAGUGAUAAGAUUCUCUCUUUAGGCUGAUAAAUAUCAUGUGUUGUAUUAAUGAACUUUCUUAUAAUGAAUGACUUAACAUCUAGGAAUAAAUACUACUUUGCUGUGAUUUAUACUCUGUAAUGUGCUGUUAGAUCCUGUAUACUUACUUUUUUUUAUGAUUUUGACAUUGAUAUUCAUGAGUGAAACUGAGCUUUAGUUUUUAAUGUAACUUUUGUCAGAUUUUGAAAUUGAUGUUAUAUGCACUCAGCUCAAUGUAGUUGAGAUUUUCUUUUCUUAUAAUGCUCUGUAACAGUGUAAGUAGUAAGGUGAUGAUCUGAUUGGUAAAGCUUUAUAAAAUUUUUCUGUGAACCUGAAACUGCUGGGUUUUGUUGUUUUUGUUUGUUUGUUCUUUUAAUGCAGGGGCUAUUUUACUAUUUUCUAUAUUGUUUUUCUAACUUAAUUGCCUUGUCUAGAUUUUCUGCCUCAAAUUGGGAUAAUUUUGUGCUUCCUAAUGAUAAACCUGUCGUGGGUAACUUCAUGCAUACUGGAGAAGUAUCAUCCACAUCAAGCCUAGUCAAAUUCAACUCUACGUAUCUGUUAAGAGGGCAGAGGGGGAUCAGAGAUAGAAAGCGAGAAGAGAGAAAAACAAAGGCAAAAGGAGGUAAUAAAUAA